CAUCAUCAGAACCCAGCACACCCACC
rnacentral:misc_RNA from 1 species